UUUGUGAAAAAGUGAUUUAAUAUCUACAGGAUUAAAAUUUAAUUUCUAAUCUAAAUGCUGUUGUUCUGCUUGCAUAGCAUGGAUGAAGACAAACCCCUGGAAAAACUAUUACUAUCUAUUAUAUAGUUGGUAUUGUGACAACAUCUCGGCCUAUGAUACUUACUCCAAAUAAUAUAAUGGCGAGAUUUAGGAUCACUGGUAUUUAUUCCUUUAACAGGGAUAUAUUCUCAGAACAAGACUUCCUCCCCCAGUUACGUUACCAAUCGAAAGAACCCAAAUGAAACGGAAGUGGGCACACCUGACACCCUAGGAGGGAAAAUUAACUAAUAUGUACAGGAAACGAAGAUCGUGGGUUAGGUAAUUUAGAAAACCUACAGACAAGCAGUGAGAACAUUCAAAAGACACCAAAUAAACAAUUUGUCAACAUCCAAGAUAAUUAAGAUCCGAAUGAAAACCUUGCAGGUCCCUCGGAUUUACUAUAGGUAAAAAAAUGUGAGUCCGGAAAUGACACCACUCGGAGGAUUUAAAGCAGGGCUGUCUGUGGAAACGGUUCGUCCUUUCCCAAAGGCUGCGAACAGGACCAACCGCAUUCAACGUAAAAAAACGCAAAUCAUCAAUACUAACAGAUACUCCAGUCAAGGAUGAAAUUGUGCAGGACGAAAAUUCUAGACAGAACAAAUAGAUAUAUACAAAAAAAGAAAA